rnacentral:rRNA from 1 species
CCUACGGGUGGCAGCAGUGGGGAAUAUUGCACAAUGGGGGAAACCCUGAUGCAGCGACGCCGCGUGAGUGAAGAAGUAAUUCGUUAUGUAAAGCUCUAUCAGCAGGGAAGAAAAUGACGGUACCUGAGUAAGAAGCACCGGCUAACUACGUGCCAGCAGCCGCUGUAAUACGUAGGGGGCAAGGGUUAUCCGGAUUUACUGGGUGUAAAGGGAGCGUAGACGGUAGUGCAAGUCUGGAGUGAAAGGCGGGGGCUCAACCCCCUGACUGCUCCGGAAACUGUACGGCUGGAGUGCAGGUGAGGCAAGUGGAAUUCGUAGUGUAGCGGUGAAAUGCGUAGAUAUUAGGAGGAACACCAGUGGCGCAGGCGGCUUACUAGUCUGUAACUGACGUUGAGGCUCGAAAGCGUGGGUAGCAAACAGGAUUAGAUACCCCUGUAGUC